CAUAUGCUUGUCUCAAAGAUUAAGCCAUGCAUGUCUCAGUACAGACUGAACUAAAGUGAAACCGCAAAUGGCUCAUUAAAUCAGUCAUAAUUCCUUAGAUGGUGAUAAAUUCCUCGGAUAACUGUGGAAAAUCCAGAGCUAAUACGUGCAACAGAGCUCCGACGCGGACGCAAGUCUGCGGAGGAGCGCAUUAAUUAGAUUCAAAACCGACCGUGGUACUCCUUCGGGAUGCUACGCUUGUCAAAUUUGAUGACUCCGGAUAACUAAGCCGAGCGCUACGGUCUUUGUACUGGCGCCGCAUCUUUCAAGUGUCUGCCUUAUCAGCUUUCGAUUGUAGGUUAAACGCCUACAAUGGCUGUAACGGGUAACGGGGAAUCAGGGUUCGAUUCCGGAGAGGGAGCCUGAGAAACGGCUACCACAUCUAAGGAAGGCAGCAGGCACGCAAAUUACCCAUUCCCAGCUCGGGGAGGUAGUGACGAAAAAUAACGAUGUGAGACUCUUCCGAGGCCUCACAAUCGGAAUGAGUUCAGUUUAAAUAUUUGGACGAGGAUCCAAUGGAGGGCAAGUCUGGUGCCAGCAGCCGCGGUAAUUCCAGCUCCAUGAGCAUAUACGAAUGCUGCUUCGGUUAAAAAGCUCGUAGUUGGAUCUCUUAGAUCCGACUUGUGUAUGGAGUGGUUUCAUAGGCGUCCUUGUGGUGCUCUUGACGGAGCCUUUACUGCUGCGCUACUUCUUAUUUCUGGCGUUGCUGGGUCGAGUAUUGCGGUUUACGGACGCGUAUCUAACGAUGCGUGGUCGGCGUCGCUUGCUCGAUUUUGGGAUUCGUCGGGGUUUGAGGUUGCGUAUUCUGUGGUAUUGCGCCGAGUUUCGAUGCGUCGCUCGUCUGAUGGCCGUGUUACAUAGCUCCUACAUAGUAGGCAAAUUACGAAUUAGUCGGCUCACUCGGAGUGCUCUUUACCGAGUGUUCUAGGGUGGCCGACACGUUCACUUUGAAAAAAUUAGAGUGCUCAAAGCAGGCUAGAGUGUAGCCGGCAUGUUGUUGCAUGGAAUGAAGGAAGAGGACCUCGGUUCUGCUUCGUUUGGUCGGUUUUAAUGAACCGAGGUAAUGAUUAACAGGAACAGACGGUGGCAUUAGUAUUGCGACGCUAGAGGUGAAAUUCUUGGACCGUCGCAAGACUGACUACUGCGAAAGCAUUUGCCGAGAAUGUUUCCAUUAAUCAAGAACGAAAGUUAGAGGAUCGAAGGCGAUCAGAUACCGCCCUAGUUCUAACCCUAAACUAUGCUAACUAGCGAUCCGUCGAAGUCAUUCCCACGACUCGACGGGAAGCCCCAGGGAAACCAAAGUCUUUGAGUUCCGGGGGAAGUAUGGUUGCAAAGCUGAAACUUAAAGGAAUUGACGGAAGGGCACCACCAGGAGUGGAGCUGCGGCUUAAUUUGACUCAACACGGGAAACCUCACCAGGCCCGGACAUUAUUAGGAUUGACAGAUUGAGAGCUCUUUCUCGAUUUAAUGGGUGGUGGUGCAUGGCCGUUCUUAGUUGGUGGAGUGAUCUGUCUGGUUGAUUCCGAUAACGAACGAGACUCUCCCCUACUAAAUAGUCGUCGGAUCGUAACCCUUGAUGGGCGAGCCGAGGCGGAUUUGAGACUGUCUUGUGGUGGCGUCAUGUCGUCAGACAUGGGAUUGCUUUUGGGGUGGCGGGCUUUCGUGGUCUUUGCAUUUUCCCGGAGCUUUCUUAUUACUGGCCCUUGCGUCGCUCUCGCGCUUUUCUCUCGUCUGUCGGAGCUAGCUUUACUGGGGGCGUCCGUCGCAAUAUAUCUUCUUAGAGGGAUCAGCGGCGUCUAGCCGCACGAGAAAGAGCAAUAACAGGUCUGUGAUGCCCUUAGAUGUUCUGGGCCGCACGCGCGCUACAAUGUAGGGCUCAGCGUGCCUUCCCUCUCCGAAAGGAGCGGGUAACCCGUUGAAACCCCUACCCGAUUGGGAUUGGGGAUUGCAAAUAUUUCCCAUAAACGAGGAAUUCCCAGUAAGCGCGAAUCAUAAAUUCGCGUUGAUUACGUCCCUGCCCUUUGUACACACCGCCCGUCGCUACUACCGAUUGAAUGAUUCAGUGAGGGCAUCGGACUGGCGCUUUCGGCGUUGAAAUACACACCCUAAGCUGACGGAAAGAUGUCCAAACUCGAUCAUUUAGAGGAAGUAAAAGUCGUAACAAGGUUUCCGUAG
rnacentral:rRNA from 1 species